AGAAAUCAACGUUAAACCGGUUGAUGAAGAAUAAUUGCGAAGCGUUCUGCCAAUCGUGGGAAACAGUUGCUAUUACAUCCCGCAAACGUUGAUCCAUUUCAAAGAUAUUAACGUUUAGACUGGAUGCUGUAUUAACGAUUUUAUCUUUGCGAGAAGAAAAUUAAUGAAGAUCCGCUAGAUUCACCAAGGGAGAUCUGUUUUUACCGAG